CUUUUUUUACUUAGUGGUACAGUAAUGCCAUGGUAAGACGUGAGUCAGUGGUUCAAAUCCGAUAAAG
rnacentral:tRNA from 1 species